GUGACCUCAAAUCAGGUAGGACUACCCGCUGAACUUAAGCAUAUCAAUAAGCGGAGGAAAAGAAACUAACAAGGAUUCCCCUAGUAACUGCGAGUGAAGCGGGAAAAGCUCAAAUUUAAAAUCUGGCGGCCUUUUUGCUGUCCGAGUUGUAAUCUAGAGAAGUGUUAUCCGCGCUGGACCGUGUACAAGUCUCCUGGAAUGGAGCAUCAUAGAGGGUGAGAAUCCCGUCUUUGACAUGGACUACCAGGGCUUUGUGAUGCGCUCUCAAAGAGUCGAGUUGUUUGGGAAUGCAGCUCAAAUGGGUGGUAAAUUCCAUCUAAAGCUAAAUAUUGCGAGAGACCGAUAGCGAACAAGUACCGUGAGGGAAAGAUGAAAAGAACUUUGG
rnacentral:rRNA from 1 species